AACGAACGCUGGCGGCAUGCCUAACACAUGCAAGUCGAACGAGACCUUCGGGUCUAGUGGCGCACGGGUGCGUAACGCGUGGGAACCUGCCCUUAGGUUCGGAAUAACUCCCCGAAAGGGGUGCUAAUACCGGAUAAUGUCUUCGGACCAAAGAUUUAUCGCCUUUGGAUGGGCCCGCGUUGGAUUAGCUAGUUGGUAGGGUAAAAGCCUACCAAGGCGACGAUCCAUAGCUGGUCUGAGAGGAUGAUCAGCCACACUGGGACUGAGACACGGCCCAGACUCCUACGGGAGGCAGCAGUGGGGAAUAGUGGACAAUGGGCGAAAGCCUGAUCCAGCAAUGCCGCGUGAGUGAUGAAGGCCUUAGGGUUGUAAAGCUCUUUUAGCCGGGAUGAUAAUGACAGUACCGGGAGAAUAAGCACCGGCUAACUCCGUG
rnacentral:rRNA from 1 species